UACGAAGGGUGCAAACGUUGCUCGGAAUUACUGGGCGUAAAGCGCACGUAGGCGGCUUUGUAAGUUAGAGGUGAAAGCCCGGAGCUCAACUCCGGAAUUGCCUUUAAGACUGCAUCGCUAGAAUUGUGGAGAGGUGAGUGGAAUUCCGAGUGUAGAGGUGAAAUUCGUAGAUAUUCGGAAGAACACCAGUGGCGAAGGCGACUCACUGGACACAUAUUGACGCUGAGGUGCGAAAGCGUGGGGAGCAAACAGG
rnacentral:rRNA from 1 species